GGUUGGGUUACCUCCCAACAAGUGCUUAAUUUAACGUCUAGAGCUCGACGAUACCUCAUGACUCAUCCUAUCCCCACACGCUGGAAAACAAAGAGGGGCAUCAAAAGAAGGCAAACCUCUAAAUCCCAAAACACCUCUGAAAAGGUAAGCCAAGCAAUCACACAAGCAACGAUAAAGCAAUCGGGAUCAUUAUGCUUCAAAGAUAUCUCCAAGAACUUGACUAUCUUUUCAUCUGAAUUUGGCUUGGCCAAGCAGCGGGGGAUUGGAGCAGCAAGCUUGUACUCGGGCCUGGGAGGAGCAGGAAUAGAAACAUGCUCUAUAGCAGCAGAAAUAUGAGGGAUGCUAAAAUCCUCCUUAGGAGUAGGGGGCUCAUCAGCUGCUAUUUUCUCAAUCUCCUCAUCUUUCUCCUCGGCAUCCUGCA
rnacentral:lncRNA from 1 species